UUUUUAUGUAUGCCUUCCUGUCUUGAAUGCCAUCAUUAAUUUCCCUGCUUAUUGGUUUGGUGUUUUGCAGUUAUAACUUGAAACUCUGUAUUUCGAGUCCUGAAGAAGGUCCCCAUCGGGAUUGAAACGUCGACUAGAUGAAAUAAAGAAGAGUUAUUUAAUAACACCUAUCAAUUACCCACACCCCUUAUCAAUCUUUUUGUUUUAUGAAUUCAGACAUGAAAACAUCCCAUUGUCUAUU